AGUCCACAACAUUCAUUCUUCUUCUCUGCUGCUCUUUACGCUCCUACCCAAAUCUUAGGAUUCAAACCUUUGUUUAGGAGAGAAUCAAAAUGACGGGUAAGUUAUUCUCCCUAUUCUCAACGGAUUUCUAAUCACUCUAUCUAGGGUUUAUAUUGGCACGAUUCUAGAUGGUUAUAGAUCAUAAUGCAUGAUUUAAAAUGUUUUUGGGUUUUGUUUAGAGUUUUGAUUUAUUAUGAGUUUAGUUAAUCAAUCCUUGUCGUAUGAAGCACAGGAUAAUUCUGGAUAGCAUGAGUAUCUCGAAUUUAAACCUAUACUUUCUAAAUGAAUUUUCUUAUGAAAUUUAUAUUUCUGGAAACUAUACAUGUAGGGCUUCUUGAGUAAAUUUAUUUCAUUAAAUUCGACUUCGUUUUCAAAUUUAUAUGUAUUUUCGAAAUAGAAAUCACUGCACUGGAAAACUGUGAUUCCAGCAUUGCAAUCGGAUUCACAAGAUUAUUUGUACCACCAAAUGAACUCGGAAAAUUCUGAAAGUUUUAUAUGUAGGUUAAUAUAUGUGUCUAGGAUUCCCAAUUUUAAUUUCAUAAUUUCUGAUCAGUAUUGUAUUUUAUAAAAAUCACAUAACCCGUUCUGUUUGGUUUAGGUUAUGUGAAAAUAGUUUCGAAUUUGUUGAGAAUAAAUAGUUUUGAAAAUGUUUUUGAUAUCGGAUCCUCUUGCAAAUUUUACAUGGGGUACUCAUGGAUGUCCAGAAUAGAUUCAUAGAAUAUUAUAUCAUUCUGCGUUUUAGUUUAAGAGUUAAAAUUCUGAGAAUCAGACCUGUAUGGGUAUGAAUUAGAAAAUCAGAUUCUUAGAAUAAGUUAUUAAUUGUCAUAUCUUGAAUUUAUUUAAGGUGUUGAAGGUGAUCGAGGUCCUUAGAAGCUUAGAGGUGUGUUAAUUAAAAUUCAUUUGUCGAGGUAAGUAACUUCAUUCCUAGUAUACGGGAUAUGUAUAAGUAUUUUGAUAUUAUUAUUAUAAGUAUAAAUAUUUUUAUACUACUUAAAGGAUUAAUUGAUUUUGAUAAUAAAUGUUUUAAAGCUAAAUUCUUUUUAACAAAGUAUUUUAUAAAUGCUUUUGAGUAUGUAAGUUAUUUUGUUAUAUGCCUACUUUUAUGAUUUUAUUUAUAAAAUGUUAUGCAAGCCUAAAUUAUUGUUAUGAACUUUUUAUAAAUCUAAUACGAAUGCUUUGUACCCAUGUAUGAUUUCGAUUAUUGAUGAUUGUUUGGGAUUUCUAAUGUUUUGGCUCAUUGUCCAUAGUCAUUUUGAUUCUGAUUCUGAAUUCUGAUCGUAAUAUACGAUAUAUCUGUCUGGACCAGUACUGGGUUUCUGUUAUGAGUGUGCACAUGAUAUUCUGAUUUUGUUUCUGGCCGGGUCACCGGGACUAUAGGUGACACUAUGCAACAUGAGCUAACCUUUUGUUUUUUAUAUAAGUAUUAUAUGAUUUGCUUCGUAAGUAAAUAUGCUUUUGGAUAUUCUGAAUUAUUAAGAAUUUAUGUUAUGUUAUCAUGAUAUAUCGUUUUAUGAAAAUUAUGGAUUAUGAUAUAUGUUUUAAACAAAAGAAGGCUUGCAAUAUUUUUGGCAUCGAUAUGCCUAGUGUGUUAGGAAUGAUUUUACUUACUGAGUUGACGGCUCACCCCUCGUCAUUACUUUUUGCAGAUUAAGUUUCUUUUGAGAGGUGCGCUUGGCUUUGGAGUUAGUAAUAUUCCGUUUCUGUUUGCCAUUUGAAUAAGAGUAGGAAUAAACUCGUGUUUCUAUCUAGUUAUUUCUAUUAUGAACAUGUAAUUUGGAGUUUGAGACUUUUGUUAUUAUUUUUAUGUCCUCGGGAGAGAUUAUUUAGUAUUAGACGUUUGAAUUUGUGGAUUUAUUUUGAAUAAGAAUUGGAGGUAUUUCAGUUUGAAACUUAUGAGUAAAGAUUAUGAUUUGUGAGUAACCUCCUUCUUCACGUGCUCCGCACGUGUUAGAUUUGGGGUGUUACACCUCUAAAUCCUAAACUUUCUCAUUGAGAUCUGUAGAUUCAGUCAUCAUGUCAUCUAUAAGCACCUCUAUCAUAUUUCCAAUUAAGGGCAUAAAGAUCUUAUUCAUUAGCCUCUGGUUUGUUAUCCCAGUGUUUUUCAACCUAGAAAUCAUCACUUUGUAGCAAUACAACCUUAACUAAUGAUGCAAAAGGUCUUCUUUUUAUCUAGUUCGAACAAGGGAUAUUAUCUAGUUCAAUAGCUAAAACAAUGAUCAUGCACUAGAUAAAUCGAUUAUUAUGAAAGCCAUUUCAAGGAGGGUUCUCUUAUAACCCUGAAAAAGCAUCCAUGAAACUAAGGAGUCCAUGUUUUACUUUUGAAUCGAUCAGUUGAUUCAUCUUUGGCUAUGAAAAGCUAUCUUUGGGGCACAACUUGUUGAGAUCCAUAAAGUCUAUGCACAAUAUCCCCUUGCCAUUCGCCUUCUUUACCAAGACCAUAUUAGAAAUUCAAAUUGGGUAAUUCACCUUCUUGAUGAAACCAACUAAUAGAAGCUUGUUACCUUCAAUAUACAAGUACCAGAGCAAUCUCAUGUUGAUAAUAUAUUAUAACUGUGGAAAAAUGGGCAGGACGUAUUUGAUAAUUGAUGUAAAUAAUAAAGAUUAGAUUAAGUAUGAGAAGCUAAAUGAUAUAAGCUAGAAAAUAUUAUUACUAAUCUAGGAUUGAAAGUGAGUACAAAUGAAGCUAACCCAUGAAUUAUAAUGAUGGGCAGCCAAUUAAAUGUUGCCACCAUUUAAGUCACAAAUGUGUGGCUGUUCUUUCAUGUAAAUCUUAUCCAAAUUACUUGCUAUUUACUUGACUAACUAAGCGGUUUCAACAAGCCUGAUAGUGAGAUAAGCGUGGAGCAUGUGAUGUAAACCACAAGCAUCACAAGAAAU
rnacentral:lncRNA from 1 species